GACGAACGCUGGCGGCGUGCUUAACACAUGCAAGUCGAACGAAGCUUGAUUACGGAUUCUUCGGAUGAAGUAUGAUAUGACUGAGUGGCGGACGGGUGAGUAACGCGUGAGUAACCUGCCCUUCAGAGGGGGAUAGCGUUUGGAAACGAACGGUAAUACCGCAUAAUGUAUUUUGACCGCAUGAUCGAAAUACCAAAGAUUUAUCGCUGAAGGAUGGACUCGCGUCUGAUUAGGUAGUUGGUGGGGUAACGGCCUACCAAGCCGACGAUCAGUAGCCGGACUGAGAGGUUGAUCGGCCACAUUGGGACUGAGACACGGCCCAGACUCCUACGGGAGGCAGCAGUGGGGAAUAUUGCACAAUGGGCGCAAGCCUGAUGCAGCAACGCCGCGUGAAGGAAGACGGUUUUCGGAUUGUAAACUUCUGUUCUUAGGGAAGAAUAAUGACGGUAGCUAAGGAGCAAGCCACGGCUAACUACGUG
rnacentral:rRNA from 1 species